rnacentral:rRNA from 1 species
GCGAACGGGUGAGUAACGCGUAGGUAACCUACCUUAUAGCGGGGGAUAACUAUUGGAAACGAUAGCUAAUACCGCAUAAAAGCGGUUGACCCAUGUUAACUAUUUAAAAGGAGCAACAGCUCCACUAUGAGAUGGACCUGCGUUGUAUUAGCUAGUUGGUAGGGUAAAGGCCUACCAAGGCGACGAUACAUAGCCGACCU